rnacentral:rRNA from 1 species
UACGUAGGUGGCAAGCGUUGUCCGGAUUUACUGGGCGUAAAGAGCGCGCAGGCGGUCGUUCAAGUCGCGUGUGAAAGCCCCCGGCUCAACUGGGGAGGGUCACGCGAUACUGAUCGACUCGAAGGCAGGAGAGGGUAGUGGAAUUCCCGGUGUAGUGGUGAAAUGCGUAGAUACCGGGAGGAAUACCUGAGGCGAAGGCGGCCAUCUGGUCUGCAACUGACGCUGAAGCACGAAAGCACGGGGAGCAAACAGG